UACGGAGGGUGCAAGCGUUAAUCGGAAUUACUGGGCGUAAAGCGCACGUAGGUGGUUUGCUAAGUCAGCUGUGAAAUCCCCGGGCUCAACCUGGGCACUGCAGUUGAAACUGGCAAGCUAGAGUAGGGUAGAGGGGUGUGGAAUUCCCGGUGUAGCGGUGAAAUGCGUAGAUAUCGGGAAGAACACCAAAGGCGAAAGCACUUUGCUGGGCCGAA
rnacentral:rRNA from 1 species